UUUUCCGGUCGGGUUAACAAUAAAGCUUAUCGGCAACUACGGUUUAGCCGUGGAGCGUCAUACCAUGUGAACGAACGAAUGGUUGUCAGUGAGGUGUGGCUCCCGGAUUUCACAGUACCUAGCUAAUAGCUAUAGCCUAUAGACGUGUCAAGUGUGAUAUACAAAUAUCCGGUCUUUAGCUACAGCUAUAUGUCUUGAAUAAUACCUACAUCAGACAAAUCAAAAAGUUUUUACACCGUAUGAAUAUAUAUUCGUUGAUUGAUGAGAAAGAGAAAAAUUAGACAGAAAAUUUCAUUUUUGUUUGGAAAACAUGUUCUGAUUUAAAUUAGUAUAUACUUACUAAAAAAAGACAACAUAACAGUCUGCGGCACUUCGAUCAACGCUUGAAAUCAAAAUCUAUUCGGUGUUUACAUGAGAAUGACGACAAUGAUACACACAUCCGGAGUGAACUUCAACACUUAAUGUCACUACGCUUCGAUACGCGUAUGAACAUUCAUCUUGUCUCUAUUGCCUCUAUUCACGUCCACAACACUAUUAUAAUUUAUUAUCUAGGAAUAUAUUUUUAUGCAUUAUAUAUUAUGUGUUAUUUACAUGUUUUUUAAAUAAAAAAUAAUUAUGGUGAAGGUUUUUUUUAAAUGUCCAUGUAUUACUAUAAAUGUACCACGAACCGAUUACUGAUGUAUUUGUCGUGAGAAUGGUGUACCUAUAUAGUGUAAUUUAGAAUAUCACCAAAAUCAAUUUUGUAAUAAUAAAUAAUAGGUAUUUCACGUUUCAUGGCAUUACGCAAUAGAUUAUAAAUUAACUUAAUUUAUAAAA